CUAAAACAUUCAUCAGUGCGUUGGCUUAAUUUCCAAGAAAGUUUGCAGUUGAAGAAUGUACACUUUCUGACAAAGGUGGAGGAAGAACACUUCCCGGUGUCCCAGAGAGGGCACUGAGGCCCCUCACAGCCCGCCCUCGUCCCUCAUCGCGUCCUCACCCUCCACUGUGGGCUCAGAACUCAACAGACCAGCAGCUCCGCACGCUUCCCCCUGACCGGCUGUUCCUGGACUGCAAGAGCCACAUUCUCCUUGACGGAGAAAACUUCUGUAAACAGUCUGCAACCUGCAAAAUGU
rnacentral:lncRNA from 1 species